UAAUAUAAAGUCUGACCUGCCCAAUGAUUAUUGUUGAAUGGCUGCGGUAUUUUGACCGUACUAAGGUAGCAUAAUAAUUAGUUUUUUAAUUGAAAGCUGGUAUGAAUGGUUGGACGAGGGAAUUACUGUCUCAAUUUAAUUUAUAUUAGAAUUUUAUUUUUAAGUAAAAAAGCUUAAAUGAAUUUUAAAGACGAGAAGACCCUAUAGAGUUUUAUAUUUUAUUAUAAUUAUAAAUUUAAGGAAUUAGUUAUUUUAAUUAUGAUAAAAUAUUUUGUUGGGGGGACAAAAAAAUUUAAAGAACUUUUUUUAUAUAAAAUCAUUGAUUUAUGAAUAAGUGAUCCAUUUAUUAUGA
rnacentral:rRNA from 1 species